GAAAGAAAGAGUUAGAGAGCUGCCACUACUGCCUCCAGCAACUGUUUCCCUGUCUCUUGCUUCUUAAUAACGAAGCCAGCAUUUCUUGGUUAUGUAGACACGCAGAGAAGCAACAUAUGCCAAACUAUUGGGCACCUAUCCUGAAGGAAGACAAAACAAUUUCAACAACAAUUCUCACAUGCCUCAUCUAUAUAAAUUCUGUUCCACUUAAAUCCAGCUGUUCUUCAAAGAAGCUUACUUGUCACAACAAUCCUGUGA
rnacentral:lncRNA from 1 species